UACGGAGGGGGCUAGCGUUGUUCGGAAUUACUGGGCGUAAAGGGCACGUAGGCGGACCAGCAAGUUAGGGGUGAAAUCCCGGGGCUCAACCCCGGAACUGCCUUUAAAACUGUUGGUCUUGAGUUCGAGAGAGGUGAGUGGAAUACCGAGUGUAGAGGUGAAAUUCGUAGAUAUUCGGUGGAACACCAGUGGCGAAGGCGACUCACUGGCUCGAUACUGACGCUGAGGUGCGAAAGCGUGGGGAGCAAACAGG
rnacentral:rRNA from 1 species